rnacentral:rRNA from 1 species
AGCAGCCGCGGUAAUUCCAGCUCCAAUAGCGUAUAUUAAAGUUGUUGCAGUUAAAAAGCUCGUAGUUGAAUUUCGGGGUUAGUAGGUUGGUCAUGCCUCUGGUAUGUACUGGUCUCACUGAUUCCUCCUUCCUGAUGAACCGUAAUGCCAUUAAUUUGGUGUUGCGGGGAAUUUGGACUGUUACUUUGAAAAAUUAGAGUGUUUAAAGCAAGCUAACGCUUGAAUACAUUAGCAUGGAAUAAUGAAAUAGGACGUUCGAUCCUAUUUUGUUGGUUUCUAGGAUUGACGUAAUGAUUAAUAGGGAUAGUUGGGGGCAUUAGUAUUCAAUUGUCAGAGGUGAAAUUCUUGGAUUUAUUGAAGACUAACUACUGCGAAAGCAUUUGCCAAGGAUGUUUUCAUUAAUCAAGAACGAAAGUUAGGGGAUCGAAGACGAUCAGAUACCGUCGUAGUCUUAACCAUAAACU